rnacentral:misc_RNA from 1 species
UACGAGUGCCCCGAGCGUUAUCCGAAAUCACUGGGCGUAAAGAGUGCGUAGGCGGUUUUGUUAGUCUCCCGUAAAAUCUUCAGGCUCAACCUGAAGCUGGCGAGAGAUACGGCAAGACUAGAGGGUGCGAGAGGUGUAUGGAACUCACGGUGUAGAGGUGAAAUUCGUUGAUAUCGUGGGGAACACCAAAUGCGAAGGCAGUACACUGGCGCAUUCCUGACGCUGAGGCACGAAAGCGUGGGUAGCGAACGGG